AUUGAACGCUGGCGGCAGGCUUAACACAUGCAAGUCGAGCGAGCGGCGGACUGGUGAGUAAUGUCUGGGCAACUGCCUGAUGUAGCGGUCUAACUACUGGAAACGGUAGCUAAUACUGCAUAACAUCAUAUGUGCCCAGAUUGGAUUAGCUAGUAGGGGGGGUAAUGGCUCACCUAGGCGACGCUCCCCAGCUGGUCUGAGAGGAUGACCAGCCACACUGGAACUGAGACACGGUCCAGACUCCUACGGGAGGCAGCAGUGGGGAAUAUUGCACAAUGGGCGCAAGCCUGAUGCAGCCAUGCCGCGUGUGUGAAGAAGGCCUUCGGGUUGUAAAGCACUUUCAGCGAGGAGGCGUUACUCGCAGAAGAAGCACCGGCUAACUCCGUGCCAGCAGCCGCGGUAAUUC
rnacentral:rRNA from 1 species